rnacentral:miRNA from 1 species
CGCGCCUUCUCAGAGGUACAGGAUC